GCUUUUGUUCAGUUGAAGCUGUCGACCUCAUAGUGCAUUAGUCCCCAGAAAAUUGUGUUACUUAUAUAUAUGUCAAGGUUGGAGAUAUGAAAGAAGCUAGGAAGCUUGUUGAGGAGAUGAAUACCUGAGGUUUCAAGCCUGACAAGAUCACUUAUACUACACUUAUUGAUGGAUCUACAGAGGAGAGUUAGAAUCAGCCUUAGAGAUAAGAAAGAGAUGAUUAAAGAAGAGAUUGCACUCGACAAUGUAGCUUUCACAGUCCUUAUUUCAGGAUUUUGCUGAGAGGGAAGAUUCUCUUUUAGUUUUUAUCAGACGGUUCUUUGUUUGGAAUGUAGCUUAGGUGGUUUCUGUUUCCUAGUUUGUGUAAUUGCAAAUUUCUUUGAUCUCCUGUUUGUAAGUUCAUUAUCCAUGUUUUGCUGGAUAUGGAUAGGCUUCCCUUUCCUAAUGAAGAAAGAUAUAUCCUGUUUUAGAUGCAAUUUAGCUGUACAAAUGCCCCAGAAGAAAGUAUGGUCUCUGUAUGUG
rnacentral:lncRNA from 1 species